rnacentral:rRNA from 1 species
AUGACCUAUACAGGGGAGAAAGCCUCAGACACUCCACCUGGUGACACACCCAAGGCUGGCAUACAAAUCAAAGAAAAAGUGGACGCACAAACGGAUAUCCCAACCACCAGCGCAAAGGAAACAAACGAUGAUGACCAUGCCAAAGAACAGCAAGGAGUACAGACAGAGCAAACCAACAAACAAGGGCAAAUGCUGACUAAAACGGUACCCAGCACACCAUCAUCAAAGACCAACGAGAUGCAAGAAACAGGGGAGAGCACCAACAUUCAAGGCAAACAAACAGAACAACACAGGGGAAUGGAACAAGCAGAAGAUGUUCUUCCAACAACAGACAGCCUAACCGCCGUAGAACAAGCCGGAAAACCUUCUGUGUCCGGGCAAGAAAUAACAUAG